CAAAGACGACGCCGGCUGCGCUCGCGGGACCAGAGGGAGGGAGGCUGCGGACGAGUGCGGGGAGGAGUUUGAGAUGGGAGGCGCUUGCAGGGGCUCCCCCAGUUCUGCGCUGUGAGCCGGGGCACAAAGAGCCCUCUGCACUCGCGCCGCAGGACCGCGGACCCAAGUUGGAGGCAUCUGUCCACCCAUGUGGUUCCAGACACGUUCAUGUGGCCACCAAGACCCCGUCGGCAUCACAGGAGUAACCAAGAGAGCAGCAAGUUCCUGGGACAGAGGAGAGAGAAGGGAAUUUCCAGGUUCUUCAGGACGUUCACAACCACACUGAGAAGCAUCUUUGCAGAUAAGUAUUUAAACUUACCAGCCCAUAGCCUACCAGCCUGCCCUCUUCUGGUCUGUGCAGGAAAGUGUAGUAUCCUAGAAUACCAAAGUGGGAGGGGAAACGGGUGAUGUAGCUCAUUCUCUUUUCUACCUCUAUGGAAGAAAGAAAGAGCCUGUCCCCAUUUUGUGGGGUCCCAGAAAGGGUGAUUUUUCACACUCCACAUUUGGCAUUAGGGCUAGUAUUUUAUAAACGUCACUGUAUGGAACUUUUGAAGGCUGAGUUAAAUGACUUCAUCUUGUGUACUUGUAGAACUGCUAUUAGAAGGAGGAUGGGGACUCCCUGAUGAUGUGAACCAGCCCUUCUCUUCUCAGUUUUAGCAUUUUGUGAUCAUAUUUAUAAACCUCGGCUAGGGCUCCUUGGCCUUACAGUUAGGUGAAGAGUUAACACUGUGACUUUAGAUGCAUUUUGCUUAGUGCAAGUGUCUGAGUUCAUCUCCAGUUCUGGACUCGAGCCCCGACUCCCAGGUGCUGACAGCAAGCUCUGAAGAUAUGCUGAGAGGGCUCCCUGACUCUCCUGACUCAGGUCUGCCAGUUGAUGAAGACAGCACAGUUGUUACCAAAAACAAAACCUGGCAGAUGGUCCUAGGUCAGGAUUAGUCGUCAUUCUCCGGUCUUCUCCAGACUGGUGACACAGGGUGGUCUUAAAAGAGUCCUUCUCCAGCCUCUGGCUCCCUGAAUUUCCUCUGGUGCAUGGGGCAUCAGGAAAGGGCAGGGGAGAAGGAAGGGGAGCAGAAAAAUAACUGAGGCUGGGCCGAAGGGUCCCUUCCAUUUCCUAUCCAUUGCUUCAAACAAUGGCUGAUUAUUGUGCACCUUGAGUGAAUGUCAAGGCAGGAAGGGUUCCAGGGCCACCCAGUGUGGCAGGAGCAGAGCUGGGAUCAGAAUUCUGGAUUCCUGACUCUCCGUUCAGCUGCAGUUCAGCUGUCACCAAGCUGCUGAGUUUGUCCUACUUUCUCCCGGGUCGCAUUCUGCUGUUGUUGGGAAACAGGCAGUGAGUGAAGGGAACCCGGGAACCCCUCUCCCCUCACCUUUUAAGGAUGUUCUGGGGUGCAAUAAAGGGAGGUGGAGGGUGGGAUGCCUGGGCCCAGCCUCCCUGGCUCCUGGUCCUUCUUUCUUCGGCAGGGAGUUCUGGCAAGGCCUGGGCCUGGGGAGGGGGCCUGGGUGCAGUUUUCUCCUGCGGUGUGGUUGGCUCUUUUGUCUUCCAGGAUGGGCCUGUGGUGUCUGUGUGGGGAAGGAAGGAGCUGGGAGCCUGGGCUGCCUGUGUGUCGGCUGGAUGCUGCCAGGCCCAGAACGCUCCUGCUCAUGAGAAGAUGGCCAGGGAGCCAGGUGGCUGGAAUGCUUGCCCUGUGUGGUCUUGGUGGGAGUGGAUGGGAUGGAAUCAAGACCACUGUGGGUGAGCUCGAGCAGAGAAUUUAGCGUGUUCGUUCAUUCAGCACCGGCAUGGACCAAGCAACUUCUCUGAGCCAGAUGCUGGGGACGCAGAGGUGAACCCAGAGACAUGAUCCCAUCUGCUCAGAUCUUCAUGUCAGAACACGCUUUAUUACAGUCUCGGCAAGGGGGUGGCUCCCUCUGGGCCGCAUCUCCAGGACUCCUGGCCUGGCCUUCUCUUUGGACCUCGGGUGACCCUGGAUUCUGGCCACAGUGACUUAGCGGGCAGACUCCGGUGGUUUUCUAGCCCGCUGGGUGACUCCCUGAAGAUCUCAUCCUCUUCACACCUGUUGGGAUGGAGCCUCCCAUGGAUAGGAACUCUUCCUGGUUGAUGCUCAGCAGACAACUGGAUCUGGCUCUGGAGGACAGCUCCAGGGGUAUGAGGGAGGCCUGGCAGCCCACUACUCCCUCCUCACCUGCUUGGGCCCUGCCUGCUGUGCCCUAUUGUCUGGGUCUGGGGGCCCUUUCCUGACCCCAUGUGAACUUGAUUCCUCCUCGCGUUUCUGCCGGUGACCAGACAGAGCCUGGCCUGGGCCAAGGCCACACUGACCACACUCUUCCCAAGGCUGGGUCUCAAAGGACCCUACAGGAUGGGGACAGGAACAGGGACAGGAGUCAGGGAGGGGCUGUCAGGCAGAGGGCAGAUGCAGCUCCUCGGGUGGUGCUGGCUGGAGUCCUUUGUCUCCAUUUGCUCAGUGUGUAAUUGUCAUUUUGUGGGGGGCUUCCUUGGUGGGCCUUUUCCAUGCUUUUCCUCUCCCUGAUGGUUACAAAGAGGAGACAGUCAGGAUCUGGGAGGAGCUGGAGCCUUCCCCCUGUGCUUUUGAACUCUGGGAGGGGCAGCUAGAGGGGCUGAGAAUGCACCAUCCUGAAAAGAGAGGGUCUUUAAGGGAUAAGAUCUAGGCCAGGGAAAUUCACUAGAAAGAGACAGGUGGCUCUGGGUUUUUUUCCUGCCAUCCAAAGGGAACCAGUCUUACCCAAAGGCUUGAGGGGUCACCCUAGCCCAGUCUCAGGACACUCUUCUCCAAUCAGAUCGCUGCUUCUAGCUGCACUGCUCCUGGAUUCUGUUCUUGGGGAACAGAAGGUGGCAGGACAGGCCCCACAAUCUGCAAUUCCAGCUCCCUCCAGAGGGGACAGUCCCAGCGUUUGCAAGAGAGCAGCUUGUGGCCUCCCUUAGGCAAGUUUAAAAGCCAGAUGUCCUUUUUCUCAGAAUGGGGAGUGGUGUGUACUAUUCAUCAGCUUGGGCUGCCACAGCACCAUGCCACAGACUGGAUGGCUUAAACAUCAGGAAUUUAUUUUCUCCCAGUUCUGGAGGCUGGAAAGUCCAGAUCAAGGUGUUAGAGUUGGUUUCUGGUGACGCCUCUCUCCUUGGCUUGCAGGUGGCACCUUCUUGCUAUGUCCUCACAUGGCCUUUUCUCUGUGGAGAGGGACAGAGAGCAUGAGCAGGCUCUGGUGUCUCCUCUUCUUCUUAUAAAGACACUAAUACCACCAUAUUAGGGCUCAAUCCUAUGACCUCAUUUAACCUUAACCCCUUAAAGGUCCCAUCUCCAAAAACAGUCACAUGGCAGGCUACUGCUUCAACAUAUGCAUUUGGGGGAGGGGACACCAUUCAGUCCUUAACAGGGUGGUCACCGCAAACAUGGAAAGUCAGAGCCAUCUCCCCUUCAGAAUUCCCGCCCCCACCCAGGGAUGGGGAAGAGGAGCAGAGGUAUGGGAAGCAGACACGGAGAGUGGCAGGUACCAUGCUGGGGUGGCUCGGGAGUGCUUCGGAGGACAUAUGAAACUGGCAGGGCUCAGUGCAGGGAGGUGGAGCCCCUGGGAGAGCUGUGUCCUGAAAAGGGCCUGAGCUACAACCCUGGGCAAGUUACUUCACCUCUGAGCCUCCACUGCUCUGUGAAAUGGAAGGCAUGUGCUCGCCUGUCAGGUGUAGGGAGCAUUCAGUGAGAUUGUGUGCCUAGCACAAUGCCUGACUCCCAGUAGGUGCUCAGUAAAUGCUCCCAUCCAUCUGGGAGUACAGACUUAGGGUUUAUCUAUUUUUUUUUUUUUGGGCUCUCUGGACUUUAAAACUCAGCAUCUUCUGAUCCAGAGGCAUUUCUGAUUAGCCCUUCCCUACCUAUUUUGCUAGUGUCACUCUUUAAUCAGCUUGGGGAGGUGGCAGCAUUUCAUGGCCUCCGUAGUAACUCACAAUCCUUCCUGGGGUAUUUAAAUUCUACUCUCUCAUCAGCACUGAGCACCUACUUUGGGCCCUUUCCCAUGCUAGCCAUUUGGGGGAAAUAUAGGUGAAGAGUGGCUGGGGUUUGAACCUUUAGGAUUUCACAGCCAUGCUGGAUGGGAUAAAACCAGCUCACAUGGAGAAUCAGAGAAUGGACAGUGCCAUAAAACAGUCUACUGAGGCACAAGUUCUGAGUGCCUGGGAAGUGGUAGAGAGACCCCAGAGAGGGCUGCUGCAGUCCAGAACAGCUUCCUAGCAAGCUGUACCAAACAGGGCUUUAAAGGAUGAGAAAGAUCUGGCUGAGAUGAUACCCUACCCUCUAGGGAAAUUCUUAAAGUAAGUUCUAGGAAAUGUCAUUGCUCCUUCAAAAAGAAGGUUCAAAUUCAAAUUCCGCUGCACUACUGAAGUACUGCAGGACUUAUCAGAACCUUUAAAAUGCUAAUGGCAAUUUCAAAUACUCAGGGACAGGGCAUAGGAUGAAGUGUUCCUUGACUUUUAUGGCCGUAGAAUCCUUUUCUCAUGGAACAUCGUUUAGAACUGUGGGAGAUGCUAGGCUGGAGUUUCUAUGGGAAAAGUACAGCAGUGAUAAAAGAUGGCAUAAUUAGGGUACACUUAGGUGCUUUGUAGCAUUGGCUGAAAAGGAAGCAGACCGGGAGGGCAUGGGGGAGUCUCAACUUGGUUCCAGGAGCCAGGCCAGCUUGAUGCAGGGUUUUUUUUUUUUUUUUUUCCUAAUGGUGGGAGGGCAGGCCAAUAGUUGGAGCAACUAGAGGCCUGACAGUCGGUGAUGGAAGAAAUGUCUACUAAGCACCGUUGUCAGAUCUUUUGCGGAGAGAUGCUGGUGUGCGUGUGUCUAUGUCAGAGUGUAACAGGAUCCAGCCCUCUGGGAAGGGGCUGACCAGAACCAGGCAGGGGGUUUCUAUCCGGGACAAGUAGGGUCCAUUUUCAGGGGAGCUGAAAUAUUUGCAGGGGGUGCUUUGAGACCCACAGCCAAUAAAUAGGAAAGCAACAUGCUUUUGGGCAGGGUCCCUGUGGUUAGGGUUGAUUUUGAUGGGGCUGGGGGGCUUAGAGGUAGACCCCCUGCCCUGGUCAGGCCCCACUCCCUGGCUGGUGGGGGCGGGAGGCCUCUGAAGCUGUAGCUGGAGGGGCCAGGGCAGUGUUGCAUGGUGUGAUUAACCUACUAACCCAGGGCUCAGCUGGGAUGCUGUGGCGUGUGACGAGGUGCCUGGCCUUCUGCCAACCAACUAACCCACUAACCAGGCCCGAGCAUGCCCUACUAACCACCCCCCCGCAGCCAGAUCCUACUAACCGUGCAGCUCAUGGGCCUUUCAAGGGGCUGGGAUAUGGGGGCAGCCAAGGCUCCAGAAGGCUCCGCCUAUGGGCUGGGAUCUUUGUGCAGACCCACGUUCCAGGACAGAGAAUGCAAAUAAGACUCACCAACUCUGCCACUUCCUGUUGAGUGAGUUUGAGUAAGUCACCUCACUUCUCUCAACCUCAGUUUCCUCAGUGGUAGAAUGCGAGUUCUGAUACCUUACAGGUUGCAGUGAGGAUUCCUGUGAAUAUAAGGGUCUCAGCACAUGGCAGAUACUUUAAAAAAAAAGUAUGAUGAUGGAGGAAGGCCCCUCAAACCUGGUUGAACACGUCUGCUGCCUAGGCCCUCGCCUCUCUGGGUGUUCUGCACACAGAUCCUUCUGCCUGUGGCAAGACACUUGCUUUGAAUCCCUGUCACUUCCCCACAUUCUUCCUCCGUCUCAGCUUUCUUUUCUGUAGGCAGCUCUUUUGUUCGAUUACUAACCCGUCUAACCCCUGGGGUGCCUCAACUGCACCCCGAUCAUCCCUUAACAAACUAACGGACUUGCGUGCGUUCUUCCUUUUCUCUUAGCGACUCCUGUGUGUGUCUGCUGAGGUGCCCUGUCCGCUGGUGCUGUGCUCUGACUUACUAACCCAGCCCCUACUAACCCUGUUUUCUCUUCUUACUAACCCCAGCCCUGCCGAGCUCUGGGCUCCCCCCGGGGGCUGGUCUCCCUCCUUUUGGCAAGCAGAUGACUUGGGGCUACUGGCCCUGUAGACAGAUGUCCCACUUUGCUGCCCCAUAUUGGCUGUUUGUAAGAUCAGAGUCCACUGGGCCAGGUCUAAGGCAGGGGAUGGCCCUAUUAACAAGACUCAGAGGAAGAAGAGGUGGUCCUGUGGAUGUGGGAGGCUGGACUCUGAGUUUGACAUCUCUCCUAUCUGCAGAAGUCUGGUUGCCACUGGGAGUAGAUGGGACCAGGGAAACCUCUGGGACGUGAGUGUGGAGGCCUGUGAGUCUAGACUCUAGACUGUGGAGCUCUGAGCUUUUGUGUCCUUCUCUGGAAGGAAGCUGGGGAAGAAUCUUCUCCAUUGUUAAGUGACAGGGAUAGAAGCUGUCCUGCACAGGAAGUCACGAGGGGGGCGUAGCCCACGAGGAAGGCAGGAGGGGGCGUGCCCGUCACCGGACAUUAGCAAAUGGGCGUAUCCCACACCGGAAGUCAGAAAGCGGAGCCUUUCUUACACCGGAAGUCAAUGAAGCGGGUCUUUCCCACGCUAAAAACCACUGAGUGGAGUAUUUAGUACACAGGAAGUCGGCCAGAGAAACAUUUCUCAUAUUUGAAGGCCGGGAAGAGGGACAUUUCUGACACCGGAAGUCAGUGAGAGGGCUCUUUCCCACACAGGAAGUCAGCUACAGAGCCCUCUCCCCUCUCUAGAGCUGAGAGACGCCGGUUUCCCCCGCCGAAAGUAGACGUGGGGCUGUGACCGGAAGUCAUUGGGAAAGAUCCGUGCCACGCCCGGAAGCUAGAGGGCGUUAGUUGUCGGGUUGAAAAGGGGGGUGGGGAGGGGAAGCAGCUUUACCCCCCGGGCUCGGAGUUUGCAGGAGAGAGAAGUCGGGAGCAAGAAAUGAACUUCAGGGGCUCACAGGGUUCCCGCAGAUGCUCAGGCCGGCCAGGAAUGCAUCUCUGGCUCUCUGUUCCCACCCACGUCACUGCCUCAGCCAGCCUCCCCCAGAGCCCGCCAGCCGCUAAGCCGGGGCCACACCUGGGGGUGAUUUCAUGCCUCACCUCCAGUAGGCACCUUGGUUUCUUUGGGCUAAUCUCUGGCUCCCUUGCACUAACUCUUGCUCUCACCCAGCUAAUCCCUGCCUUACCCUGACUGCCCCAGGGGCUGACCACUAACAACCAACCUGGCCUGUCUGGGGCUCCAGGCUCCUGGCCUGGCCCUGACCAGCUCUUAAUUAACCUUUCCUUCACCUUGACUAACUCCUGCCUUCCUGGUCUGUUCCUUUCAGCAGAAACUAAUGGCUUGUGGAUUUUUUUCUGACUAACAACAGGUCUAACAUUCCUUGUUACUGUUAACAGCUUGGAUGUCGGCAUGGCUGGGAAGGGGCUAACACAGGUUUGAACUUGACUAACACAGGGAAAAGUGUAGCUAACAAUUUUGGACGUGGUGGCUGCUCUGCGUCAGAGCAAUCAGAAGUCGGUAAAGAUGGUAGUUUUCUAAAGGAGGUGCCAGGGCUCUGGUGUGGACCAGGCCUGAUGGAACAGUGGUACCCACCAAGGUGGGGUCAGAAGUUAGCCAGUCUUGCAAGAUUUUGGUCAUUGGGCAUAUCUUCACCCCUCAUAAUCUGCAUUUGGUUUCAGUUCUUUAAAAAAUAGAGCCUUAUAGCUACAGUAGUUUGCACAAGUAGAUGCAGCUCUUAUAAACCUUAAAAUAACUGGUGUCUACAGAGCAUAUGCCAUUUUGUAUAGAGUCACCCGUCCCCAGGCCAGGGCCUAGAGUCUUCAUUUUGGGGACUUUGUGUUUUGGAAGUUCUAGGACAUAAAGCUUUAGAUCAGAGUAUUCAGAAGGGUUAUAACUCCAUCAGUCAUUUACAUGUUAGUAGUAUAAAUUAUCUGAGCUUCCUCUUCUAACUUUUAGCUCUUCUAGCAUAAACUCUUCUGUGCAAUUUAGCUGCACCGAGGAAACGGGAGUUUUUCUGGAAGGGACUUUUGCUCUCUUUAGACUGAGGGAACGUCGUUUGGGAGUAGAGGGGCAGGGAGCAUAUGCCAGGGAUUCCAGGUGCAGAUAAAAGGUGGCACUAGUUCAAGGUUUUGCUGACUCAAUCUGGUAGUCAGAGUGUGCAGGAGAAGACAGCUCAAGGCAGGGCCUGGAGGAUUGGAUCAGUUUAGGGACAGGUCAAAGGUGGGCUUAGAGACCUUAGAGGCAGGUUGCUUGGUUCGUUGAAUGCUAGUCUGGUGCUGAGAGCCCUUUUCUCCGGCAACUGUGGACUCAGAGCUAACCAAUUGUAGUUGGCAGUGGGGGCUGAAGGGUGAUCCAGAGGCCUGAGCUGCAGAGGGCACAAGAGAGAAAAGAUGUCUUAGGAAGAGCUUUGAGAACAUGCCUUGGCUGCUGGCAGGGACCUUGGAUGAGGUAGUCUACACCCGGAAGUGCCUGCCUGCCAUCCUCUAGUGGCUGCCUUACUCCAUUUCACUCAAAGCAGGAAGCUCAGAAACACCUCCUAUUCCUGAAACUCUUCUUUGUUUAACUGCAAAGAUUUGAUGCUGCUAAGGAUCUACUAUGUGCCAGGCACUGCUGUGGACGCUGGGACCUGCACCUGGGCUUUUUCGUCAUGGUGCUUUUAUAGCCUAGUGGGAGAGUUGGUGAAGUAGAUAGUGAUUCAGUGAGAUGGGUGUUAUGAAGGGUCAGGGGUCUGUGGGAGCACCGAGGAGACAGACAAGAUUGAUGUGCACCUACUGUGUGCCAGGCGUGUGCCAGGCAUUGGGGAUGUAGUGGUAGUUAAACACCAUUUGGUCUUCAGGAGCUUUAAUUCUAGUGUGUUGGGUGGGUACAGGGGGGUGGAAUGGGGACAGAGAGACACCUAAUCCACCCUGUGGUGGCUUUCUGGAGAGGGAGGCAUCUAAGCUGAGCUGUGGCUGGGUGGAGUGUGGGUGGGGAUGAGUUCCAGGCAGUGAGGGUGGUGGACACCAGUUUCUGGGGAUCAGAGAGGAUCGAAAGAGGUUCUGGAAGGUUCAUGUGGAAUGUAGCAAGAGAUAGGGGACAUAGACAUGGUGCCGGGUCUGGUUGCCAAGGAGUUUAGUUUUAUCCUUAGGCCUUGGGGAGCCAUGGAUAUGAUCUGAGAAAGGGAGUUAAUGGAUUUGAGUUUUAGGCUGGCCAUUUGGCUUUUCCAGCCCAGGUGGAACUCAGAGGAGUUUGCAAUGGGCUCUGGCCACAUUUUAGACAACUGAGCAGAACUUUUUGAAACUAGGAAGACCCUUUCGUCCACCUUUUGAUAAACAGAAUCCCUACAUGUCUACCGCAGUUGGAAGUAUCUCUGCAAUGACUGGAAAGUAAAGAGGACCAAGGUAAAAAUAAAGGCUUGGAAAGGGAGCAAUCUUGAAAACAUGUCAUCCCAUGGUGGUGGGAAGCCCCUGGAGAAGAUCAGGGGAAACACAGUCAUAGGCUGCAAGUCUAUAAGAGAAUUCCAUUGCGGAGGGAGCCCACUUGUCAUGCAUGGCUGCAAGGGGCAGAUGUAAGUGUGGAGUAAGCUUGCAAGAGCUGAUCCUGGUCCCAGAGAGGGAAAAAUAUGCCUUGGUGGGUAAUGAACCUUUUGUUCCCAGAGGCAGAAGGAUUGGGACUAGGCCAACAUAGAGAUUGGCGAUGGUUGUCUAAGAGUGUGUGUGCAUCUUGACAAUAUUAGAGGAGGCUGAGCCCGAGCAGGCACAUUCUCUUCAACCCCUCCCUCAUUCAGUCUGCUUUUGAGUCUACUGAACAUCAAGCUUGCUAUGAGCAGGAUCUUAGAGCUGAGGAAUUGGCCUUCCAAUCUGAACAGGUGUUGUAAUCCUUUCUUAAUAGGUUGUGUUGUGGACCCAAUGUGAGGGCUGUGCUCAUGUAAAUGGUGACAUAUUGAGCUGGGGGAUGCUUUCGGGGUAGGGGGACUGGUUCCAUUCCAACAAAGGCCCUCUUGAGAGUCUAUCCAGGGACCCAUUGUUUUACUUUAACAGACCAGAAAAGAUGUUUGUUUUCCAUGUCAUUACCCCCAGGGGAUGCCGAAUGUGUGGGUAGAAAUUUCUCUGUAGAUUAAAAAUCAGAUUUUUACAUGGAUUCAGCAAA